UAAACGGAAAAGAAAGUCUAAAUGAGACUUCUGAAAGAGCACGCUUACAAUUAUACAACAUUGGAACGUUGGACUUGUCAAGUUCUAAGAAUACCAAUGAAUCGGUCUCUGUUGAUGAAAACUUACACGGAGACAAAAAUCUAAAUGCGACUUCUGAAAAAGAACGCUUACAAUAUUCUAACCCUGACACUUCGGAAUUGUCAUGUUUAGAAAAUACAAAGGAACUAGUCCCUGAUAAUGAAAACCAACACAGAGAAGAAAAUAUAAAUGCGACUUCAGAAAAAGAACGCUUACAAUCUUCCAACGUUGGCAUUUCGGACCUGCACAUUUCUAAAGGUACAAAGGCACCAGUCCCCCAUG